CACUGUGUGGCACAGUGGUUUGAGUGCUGGACUGUGACUCAGGAGACGUGGGUUCAAUUCCCUGCUGGGUGA